GCUACUCAGGAGGCUGAGACUGGAUACUCGCUUGAACCCGGGAGGCAGAGAUUGCGGUGAGCCACGAUCGCACCACUGCACUCCAGCCUGGGCAACAGAGUGAGCUCCGUCUCAUAAAUCAAUAAAUACGUAAAUUAAAAAAUCACCCUUUUGGGGUUAAGAUUGAAACUAGCCAUCAAGCCAGAACCUCUUGUUUUCUAAGGUGGCUUAGUUCUGUUGCCCUCCGCUGCCUUUUGUAGCCCACCUGUUCCCCUCCCCGUCCAGUGGCAUGCAAGAAUGCGCACCUCCCGCCCAAAGCUGCGCAAACAGGGAAGUCUUCCUGGCGUUUCAGACAUGCUCUGAAACCUUGAUGUGUUUGACUCAUUCCUGUUAAAUAGUAACCGUUUUACUGACUGGUAAUCCUAUUUCUAUGUACACAGUGUAACCUCAUAUCCUGCAGUGUUGUCUGUGACAAAGUUGAACCAAACAGGAACUUCAGUCUCCAAGCUUUCUUAGGAUCUGUCAGUGUCUUGCUGUUCUUGUGCUGACUUCCUGCCCAGAGAUGAGCCCACAACAUUCCGUGGGGGCAGGAGAGCUGCAGGCUGGCUCUGCCCCCAGUCAGCCCCGGGAACCACUCUCUGGGCUGUGCCCGCAGUCAGCCUCAGGAACCAUCUCCCUGGGCUCUGCUCUGGGCAGUUUUCCCUUCAUGUGGAUUUUCUUUUUUUUUUCCCUCCUCCCUUAUUCCAAGGCUUUAUUUAUUCAUAAUUUCAACGUUUAUUUUAGACUCAGAGGAUCCAUGUGCAGGUUUGUUACGUGGGUAGAUAUUCUUUCGAAUCUGGUAUUUGGCACAGGGAUAGUCUUGUUGCCCUGUCGCCGCUUAAAGAAAUAGGCAUUUAAGUGCGCUGAUGAAAUAGUGAAAUAGCCUGGGCCCAGUGGCUCACGCCUGUAAUCCCAACACUUGGGGAGGCCGAGGCAGGUCGAUCGUUUGCGCCCAGGAGUUUGAGACCAGCUUGGGGAACACAGCAAAAUAAUGUAGCGAUCUUAUGUGUCUUUACAUAAGAUAAAAGCAGAAAUUAGCUGGGCAUGGUAGUGCAUGCCUGUAGUCCCAGCUCCUCAGGAGGCUGACGUGGGAGGAUCACCUGAGCCUGGGAUAUUGAGGCUGUAGUGAGCCAUGAUCCUGCCACUGCACUCCAGCCUGGGCAACAGAACAAGAGCCUGUCUCUGGAAAAAAAGAAGAAAUCGUGAAGUAAACCUUUGCUUUUUGGUAGCAGGAGGCUAAAAAUCUUUACAUCAUUGUAAACCAGGGCCAGUUGCUUGUGUGUAUAGAAGAUGUGGUGGUUCUUUUCCUCCUCUUUGAGGAAAAGGAGAAAACUAUAAUUUCUGUGGAGGAUUAAUUUUGGUAACUUAUUUUCUGUUUGAGGUAGUUCAGUAUCUUGGAAUUGAUUCCUGCGUUGGCUUCUUUUGUGCAGAGAUGGCUUCCCCAAAACAUGUUCAAAUCUAGAAUAAAAGUGUUGAUGGGAGCAAGGCGUACCCAGGUUCCUUACCUGUGCAGCAGCUGUGCCACGCCCUCCUCCUAGAGGGAGGCAGGUUUUCUCAUGGUCCCUGUGGGGUGGGGUGGCCCCAUAUCUGCAGGGGGAGGUGGUGGGAGAUGGAGCAGGGCAGUAGUGUGGGCUUGGGAGAUUGAGGAGGACCUCCUGGCAGAGAGGACUUCUGCCUCCUCUCCUUGUACAGGAGCCUGUGAAUGCAUCCUGGUGAGGGUGGCUGACUCAGAGGAAGCUUCCCACCUGGGGUGUCUCUGGCCUGUGCCCUCUUUGCAAGGACGUUGGGGAGCUGGGGGUGUCCUCAGAGCUUCAGACUUGGAGUGGGGUUUGGACACCUGUGUUCUGACCUGUGCAGGCCUUUCUGGUAUGCAGCCAGGUGUAGAGGCGCCACUCACCAAACAGGAAGGAGAGGAAGGCCAGCAGGUGUGGGCGGGGCUGGCUGGAGAGGGUGGACGCUGUGGGCUUCAGUCACUCCUCUGUCCCCAUCUGUGCAUGGCCAUCGUCCAGACCCUCAGACUAGCUGCCAUUGUGCUUCCCACUAUGCUGUGGACUCUAGACGCUCUCCUGAGGGCCACAGCGGCCUUGAGCUUGCCGCCAUUCUAGCUUAGGCUGGAUCACCCGUCCCCGGCACAGAGAGGAGCUGCCUUCAAAAUGGAUUUUCCUGUAUGACGGAAAGUGGAAUUUGCACAGUGAAAGAGAGUGUCCCCAUUCUCCCAUCUCCAAGAGCAGCUCUUCCCAUCUUCACAUGGUUUAUUUUGGUCUUUUCCAGAUGGGCAUUCAUUUAGGAUUGGCUGUGACGCAUGGGGCUGGGGAAUGUGUUUAUUUGUUUAAAACAGAAUUACUGCUUAUUGUGAAAAAUUCACUCAGUACUAGUGACCUGAUGCCCGGCAUGCUCAAUUGGUUUUCCCUGUGAAAAUUCCAGUAUGUAUCGCUGAGAUACAAAUCUUUUAAAAAA